GGCGUGGUGAUGUGUGGAAGCCUGAUUCAGACCUGCGUCUCUGAAUCCCCAUGGCUAGUACUGCUUUUCUUCUCAAGUCUGCUCUAUGUCCAUCUUUCAGAGGUCCUGGCCUCUCUUGCCUACUGCCUGGGGAGGAUUAGCCCACACACCUGAAGAAGUGCUGCUCAUCCUGGAUUUUCAGAUAUUCCAAUCUACGAUCCGCAUCAUUCAAAAGAGUGAGGCAAUUCUGUAUAUGGAGGAGGAAAUGGUUUGUUAAUUUAACUACUAAUCUUGAAACAAAUGCAGAUAUAAAAAUGAAUGACAACUAAAAAUAUCCUUGUAGUUAUAUAACUCAUGUGACAUAUUUAGCAUAUUAUUGUUAUUCAGAAAUACUUGUAAUUCUGAUGGUAAAAUGAUGGAAAGAAUAUGUAUACUUUGUAAACAUAAACUUUAUGUCUCUAAAACAGUUAUGUAGGAUUAUGGGGAGAUCAGAAAAGACUUAACACAUAUCAAACCAAAAUUCAUUGAGAUUUAGAUUUUUCUUAAGAGCUUACAGAAAAAUUGUUUUAGUAUGUAGUAUGAAAUUCAGUAAGUGUGCUUGUGAUCAAGAUGGAACUUGACUGCUUACUAAGAACUGAAAAUUAAAACCAAAUGUCAAAUAGAACUAUACAUUUUUGUUGAUGCUCACCCUGUCUAAGGCACUCACAAAGUUAAUUCAUUUAAAUCUUAAAAUGACCCUAAGGGAGAAACUAUUAUUUUUCUCAUUUACUCAUAAGAAAACUGUGACAAGAGAGUUAAGUGACUUGCCUUUGGUUAUUCAACUAACAGAUGUCAGAGCCAGGAUUUGAUUCUUGGCAGCAUGGCUCCAGGAGCUGCGCUCUUAACUCACGACACUACACUGCCUCUCUACGGUGACCAAAGGAGGGUACAGGAGAG